GAGGGGAUAUAAAUAGUAUGCCUUUAAACGCUUAUAUUGUAGGCUAUCAAGCCUACUCAAUAAAUAUAAAAUUGAACUUCAAAAAAAGACAGGCUACUGUGUUGAAAAUACAUUGUGUGAAGGGCACUGUGUAUCUGCACACAGAAGACAAGAACGCAAAAUGUCAACAGCUCUGAAAGGUGGAGGAAUGGAAUUUCCCAUUCUCUUUCACUUUCCCCACUUGAACUUUCCUUGUUUUACAUAUUACCUCAUCCAUGGCAUAUCAAUGAGGGAGACUAUAAAGGUAGGGCAGGUAGCCCAACGUUUAGAAGUAGUGAUCAGGGAUUUAUCAACUCACCGGACACAUGGCCACUCUUAAUGUCUCCUUUGUGGUACAUCUUCUGUGUGUAAUUGUUCUUUACCCGGUUGUUUAUGCUAAAUGCAGUGACCAAAAGGAGCAAAUGUAUAAUCUUUCUCAAACUCGCCAGACACUCAAUGAUCUUGCCAUGGUUGGUCAAUUUCUUUAACCUGUUACAAAUUGACCAUAUAGGCAGAGACAUAUUUAGAAAUAUGGGUCUGAAUAUAGGCUGUAACAUGGAUGUGAUAUCACAAGUUAUUUAUUAUUGUUGAAAAUUGAUUAUUUGAGCUUAAUUCAUUCCUAUAUUUAGUGUUUAUUUGAGAUUUUGUGUAUUUUGUGUGUGGCAUAGGAGAGGAGACCAAGAGGCUGUAUCCCAGAGGCGGAAAUGAUAAUGGUCCAACGUCCAACGCUUUCAAAAGAGGAGGUGGAAAAGGUUUGGACACUGAGACUUGCGUUUCAACUAGCCAGCGAGCUCUUCCAACAAAACCUAACUCUUGUGAAAUGGAAUUCCAUCAAACUCAGGGACCUUCAAGACCUUCUUGCUCGACAAUAUAUGACCUAUUCGGAAUGUGUCAGAGACAUGCGUCUGCGUCAAAACCUUCCAAUUGGUGAUAUGGUUAAGAACUACUUCAAACAGCUGGACGACUUUCUUUCACGUGAGGUAAAGAAUCUUAUAGGUUGCAUUUUACUGAGAGGGCUGGAGUGGGCCUAGCCUAUACCUAUGUUGUAUAAUGUAUUAUUUUCACCUAAUACAUAUUUGUUGGUCGUUUUUGUAUUUUAGAGUUUCAGCUUGUGCUCAUGGGAGGUCGUGAGAACUGAAAUGGGGAGCAUCCUGAGGGAUUUUUACAAGAAAUCAAAAAUGCCAAGAAAACACGUGUGAGAGUAUCAUUACUUUUAGUUAAUUUCUGCAAAACGUGUAAUUUUUUUGUAUGUUAUUUCUCCGUGUUGCAAAUAAUUUCAAUGUAGGUUAUAGUAUUUAAAUGAAGAUGCAAACAGACUUACAUUGGUUGAAAUUGCGCUCGCAAUUUUGUAAAAUUCUGUGGUGUGAUGCAACCUUGAAAUACGAGUUUUUCGUUGAAAUGUUUUCCUAAAUGAGAAAUUAUUCCUACUAACAAUUGCAUAUCAACA
rnacentral:lncRNA from 13 species